CCCUUAGAUGUUCUGGGCCGCACGCGCGCUACAAUGAUGCAUUCAACAAGCACCCAACCUUGGCUGGAAGGCCUAGGUAAACUUUGAAACUGCAUCGUGCUGGGGAUAGAUGAUUGCAAUUUUUCAUCUUCAACGAGGAAUUCCUAGUAAACGCAAGUCAUCAGCUUGCAUUGAUUACGUCCCUGCCCUUUGUACACACCGCCCGUCGCUACUACCGAUUGAAUGGUUUAGUGAGCUCCAUGGACCGAUCGACUCGUUGGUUUCCUUCGUUUCCGGUUGGAAAGUGGAUCAAACUUGNUNAUUUAANGGAAGUAAAANUCGUANCA
rnacentral:rRNA from 1 species